rnacentral:rRNA from 1 species
GGGGAAUAUUGCACAAUGGGCGCAAGCCUGAUGCAGCCAUGCCGCGUGUGUGAAGAAGGCCUUCGGGUUGUAAAGCACUUUCAGCGGGGAGGAAGGCGUUAAGGUUAAUAACCUUGGCGAUUGACGUUACCCGCAGAAGAAGCACCGGCUAACUCC